rnacentral:tRNA from 1 species
GGGGAUUUAGCUCAGCGGUGGAGUGCUCACCUAGCAUGUGUGAGGCCCUGGGUUCAAUCACCAGUACCACA